GACGGAGGGAGCAAGCGUUGUCCGGAUUUACUGGGCGUAAAGCGCGCGUAGGCGGCCCGUCAAGUCAGCGGUGAAAUUGCUGGGCUCAACUCAGCAACUGCCGUUGAUACUGGCGGGCUCGAGUCCGGGAGAGGGAAGCGGAAUUCCUGGUGUAGCGGUGGAAUGCGUAGAUAUCAGGAAGAACACCGGUGGCGAAGGCGGCUUCCUGGACCGGUACUGACGCUGAGGUGCGAAAGCUAGGGGAGCGAAC
rnacentral:rRNA from 1 species